rnacentral:rRNA from 1 species
GAUGAACGCUGGCGGCGUGCCUAAUACAUGCAAGUCGAGCGAACAGACGAGGAGCUUGCUCCUCUGAUGUUAGCGGCGGACGGGUGAGUAACACGUGGAUAACCUACCUAUAAGACUGGGAUAACUUCGGGAAACCGGAGCUAAUACCGGAUAACAUGUUGAACCGCAUGGUUCAACAGUGAAAGACGGUCUUGCUGGCACUUAUAGAUGGAUCCGCGCCGCAUUAGCUAGUUGGUAAGGUAACGGCUUACCAAGGCAACGAUGCGUAGCCGACCUGAGAGGGUGAUCGGCCACACUGGAACUGAGACACGGUCCAGACUCCUACGGGAGGCAGCAGUAGGGAAUCUUCCGCAAUGGGCGGAAGCCUGACGGAGCAACGCCGCGUGAGUGAAGAAGGUCUUCGGAUCGUAAAACUCUGUUAUUAGGGAAGAACAAAUGUGUAAGUAACUAUGCACGUCUUGACGGUACCUAAUCAGAAAGCCACGGCUAACUACGUG